AGAGCACUCCUACGGGAGGCAGCAGUGGGGGAAUAUUGCACAAUGGGCGCAAGCCUGAUGCAGCCAUGCCGCGUGUAUGGAAGAAGGCCUUCGGGUUGUAAAGUACUUUCAGCAGUGAGGAAGGUGGGUAUGUUAAUAGCAUACUCAUUUGACGUUAGCUGCAGAAGAAGCACCGGCUAACUCCGUGCCAGCAGCCGCGGUAAUACGGAGGGUGCGAGCGUUAAUCGGAAUUACUGGGCGUAAAGCGCAUGCAGGUGGUUGUUAAGUCAGAUGUGAAAGCCCGGGGCUCAACCUCGGAAUUGCAUUUGAAACUGGCAAACUAGAGUACUGUAGAGGGGGUAGAAUUUCAGGUGUAGCGGUGAAAUGCGUAGAGAUCUGAAGGAAUACCGGUGGCGAAGGCGGCCCCCUGGACAGAUACUGACACUCAGAUGCGAAAGCGUGGGGAGCAAACAGGAUUAGAUACCCUGGUAG
rnacentral:rRNA from 1 species